ACAAGCGGUGGAGCAUGUGUUCAAUUCGACGCAACGCGCAGAACCUUACCAGCCCUUGACAUGGGACUCGCCGGGAGCAGAGACGCUCCCUUCGGUUCGGCCGGAGUCCGCACAGGUGCUGCAUGGCUGUCGUCAGCUCGUGUCGUGAGAUGUUGGGUUAAGUCCCGCAACGAGCGCAACCCUCGUCUCCAGUUGCCAUCAGGUUAAGCUGGGCACUUUGGAGAAACUGCCGGUGACAAGCCGGAGGAAGGUGGGGAUGACGUCAAGUCCUCAUGGCCCUUACGGGCUGGGCUACACACGUGCUACAAUGGCGGUGACAAUGGGAAGCAAUGGCGCGAGCCGGAGCCGAUCCUUAAAAACCGUCUCAGUUCGGAUUGCACUCUGCAACUCGAGUGCAUGAAGGUGGAAUCGCUAGUAAUCGAGGAUCAGCAUGCCUCGGUGAAUACGUUCCCGGGCCUU
rnacentral:rRNA from 1 species